ensembl:misc_RNA Metazoa_SRP Metazoan signal recognition particle RNA
GCUAGGUGUAGUGGUGCAUGCCUGUAAUCCCAGCUACUCAGGAAGCUGAGGCAGGAGAAUCGCUUGAGCCCAGGAGGCAGAGGUUGCAGUGAGCUGAGAUUGUGCCACUGCACUCCAGCCUGGGCAACAGAGUGAGACUCUGUCUCAA